rnacentral:rRNA from 1 species
UCGAGCGGUAGAGAGGUGCUUGCACCUCUUGAGAGCGGCGGACGGGUGAGUAAUGCCUAGGAAUCUGCCUGGUAGUGGGGGAUAACGCUCGGAAACGGACGCUAAUACCGCAUACGUCCUACGGGAGAAAGCAGGGGACCUUCGGGCCUUGCGCUAUCAGAUGAGCCUAGGUCGGAUUAGCUAGUUGGUGGGGUAAUGGCUCACCAAGGCGACGAUCCGUAACUGGUCUGAGAGGAUGAUCAGUCACACUGGAACUGAGACACGGUCCAGACUCCUACGGGAGGCAGCAGUGGGGAAUAUUGGACAAUGGGCGAAAGCCUGAUCCAGCCAUGCCGCGUGUGUGAAGAAGGUCUUCGGAUUGUAAAGCACUUUAAGUUGGGAGGAAGGGCAUUAACCUAAUACGUUAGUGUUUUGACGUUACCGACAGAAUAAGCACCGGCUAACUCUGUGCCAGCAGCCGCGGUAAUACAGAGGGUGCAAGCGUUAAUCGGAAUUACUGGGCGUAAAGCGCGCGUAGGUGGUUUGUUAAGUUGGAUGUGAAAGCCCCGGGCUCAACCUGGGAACUGCAUUCAAAACUGACAAGCUAGAGUAUGGUAGAGGGUGGUGGAAUUUCCUGUGUAGCGGUGAAAUGCGUAGAUAUAGGAAGGAACACCAGUGGCGAAGGCGACCACCUGGACUGAUACUGACACUGAGGUGCGAAAGCGUGGGGAGCAAACAGGAUUAGAUACCCUGGUAGUCCACGCCGUAAACGAUGUCAACUAGCCGUUGGGAGCCUUGAGCUCUUAGUGGCGCAGCUAACGCAUUAAGUUGACCGCCUGGGGGAGUACGGCCGCAAGGUUAAAACUCAAAUGAAUUGACGGGGGCCCGCACAAGCGGUGG